GGCGAGCAGUGAGUCAGCCCUGGGAGCACAGGUGAAGGCAAUUCUCCUGUGCUACUGGAAGGGGUGGAGCCUGGCUCCACCUCUCCUGGACCCCAUUUAAGAGCUGACUACCACUGGAGAAGUAUCUCCUUUGGAGAUCCCUCCUCUUGGAGUCUUCUCAGUGAGCCCAGGACAAGGGUACUCAGGAAUGAUGUAUUGUAAAUGAUCAGAAGUCUUAAAUGCAUUACACUAAGAACAAUCUGUAGCUGACAAUCAUGGAAGAAAGCAAAACAGGCUUAGACAGAGUUCUGCAGCCUUAGCUCAUCUCAAUGAGCCACUUAAAAGCUAUUACAAAUAAACUUCAGAGCAGUGCAACCUAUCUACUGGAUUCCAUAUUACUCAA